rnacentral:rRNA from 1 species
GAUGAACGCUGGCGGCGUGCUUAACACAUGCAAGUCGAACGAUGAAGCCCAGCUUGCUGGGUGGAUUAGUGGCGAACGGGUGAGUAACACGUGAGUAACCUGCCCUUAACUCUGGGAUAAGCCUGGGAAACUGGGUCUAAUACCGGAUAGGAGCGUCCACCGCAUGGUGGGUGUUGGAAAGAUUUAUCGGUUUUGGAUGGACUCGCGGCCUAUCAGCUUGUUGGUGAGGUAAUGGCUCACCAAGGCGACGACGGGUAGCCGGCCUGAGAGGGGGACCGGCCACACUGGGACUGAGACACGGCCCAGACGCCUACGGGAGGCAGCAGUGGGGAAUAUUGCACAAUGGGCGCAAGCCUGAUGCAGCGACGCCGCGUGAGGGAUGACGGCCUUCGGGUUGUAAACCUCUUUCAGUAGGGAAGAAGCGAAAGUGACGGUACCUGCAGAAGAAGCACCGGCUAACUACGUG